rnacentral:rRNA from 1 species
GCAUACGUCCUACGGGAGAAAGCAGGGGACCUUCGGGCCUUGCGCUAUCAGAUGAGCCUAGGUCGGAUUAGCUAGUUGGUGAGGUAAUGGCUCACCAAGGCGACGAGCCGUAACUGGUCUGAGAGGAUGAUCAGUCACACUGGAACUGAGACACGGUCCAGACUCCUACGGGAGGCAGCAGUGGGGAAUAUUGGACAAUGGGCGAAAGCCUGAUCCAUAAAGGGCGCGCGUGUGUGAAGAAGGUCUUCGGAUUGU